GGCAGCUAACAUGACUUCGGGGGACGAUAACGGCGUCGAGCGGCGGACGGGUGAGUAAUGCCUAGGAAAUUGCCCUGAUGUGGGGGAUAACCAUUGGAAACGAUGGCUAAUACCGCAUGAUGCCUACGGGCCAAAGAGGGGGACCUUCGGGCCUCUCGCGUCAGGAUAUGCCUAGGUGGGAUUAGCUAGUUGGUGAGGUAAGGGCUCACCAAGGCGACGAUCCCUAGCUGGUCUGAGAGGAUGAUCAGCCACACUGGAACUGAGACACGGUCCAGACUCCUACGGGAGGCAGCAGUGGGGAAUAUUGCACAAUGGGCGCAAGCCUGAUGCAGCCAUGCCGCGUGUGUGAAGAAGGCCUUCGGGUUGUAAAGCACUUUCAGUCGUGAGGAAGGUGGUGUAGUUAAUAGCUGUAUUAUUUGACGUUAGCGACAGAAGAAGCACCGGCUAACUCCGUGCCAGCCCCCGCGGGUAAUAAA
rnacentral:rRNA from 1 species